CCUACGGGAGGCAGCAGUGAGGAAUAUUGGUCAAUGGGCGCGAGCCUGAACCAGCCAAGUAGCGUGAAGGAUGACGGAUCUAUGGUUUGUAAACUUCUUUUAUAUAGGAAUAAAGUGAGGCACGUGUUCCUUUUUGUAUGUACCUUAUGAAUAAGCAUCGGCUAACUCCGUGCCAGCAGCCGCGGUAAUACGGGGGAUGCGAGCGUUAUCCGGAUUUAUUGGGUUUAAAGGGUGCGUAGGAUGUGAUGUAAGUCAGUUGUGAAAUGUUUCCGCUCAACCGGGUGAAGUGCAAUGGAUACUGGCUGUCUGGAAUGCGGUUGCGGUAGGAGGAAUGCGUGGUGUAGCGGUGAAAUGCUUAGAUAUCACGAAGAACUCCGAUUGCGAAGGCAGCUUACGAAUCUGCCACUGACACUGAUGCACGAAAGCGUGGGUAUCAAACAGGAUUAGAUACCCUUGUAGUC
rnacentral:rRNA from 1 species